rnacentral:rRNA from 1 species
GGGGAAUAUUGCACAAUGGGCGGAAGCCUGAUGCAGCGACGCCGCGUGAGCGAUGAAGGCCUUCGGGUCGUAAAGCUCUGUCCUAUGGGACGAUAAUGACGGUACCAUAGGAGGAAGCCCCGGCUAACUACGUGCCAGCAGCCGCGGUAAUACGUAGGGGGCGAGCGUUGUCCGGAAUUACUGGGCGUAAAGGGUACGUAGGCGGCUAGGUAAGUCAGGUGUGAAAUCCAUGGGCUCAACCCAUGUAAGCACUUGAAACUGCUUAGCUUGAGUUAAGGAGAGGAAAGCGGAAUUCCUGGUGUAGCGGUGAAAUGCGUAGAUAUCAGGAGGAACACCAGUGGCGAAGGCGGCUUUCUGGCCUUGGACUGACGCUGAGGUACGAAAGCGUGGGGAGCAAAC